AGCCUGUGAUGAAUUAACUUCUGACACCUCGUAUGAAAACUGCAGGUGCAGUCUGAUUACAUUACAAGACUGAGGCUU